ensembl:snRNA U6 U6 spliceosomal RNA
GUGCUCACAUCGGCAGCACAUAUACUAAAAUUGGAAUGAUACAGAGAUUAGCAUGGCCCCUGUGCAAGGAUGAUAUGCAACUUCAUCAAGAGUUCCAUAUAAAA